ACAUACGACCAUAGGACCAUGAAAACAGAGCUUCCCGUCCGCUCAGCUGUACUUAAGCAUGGUACCGGCGGAUUAGUAGUUAGGUGGGUGACCACUAGCGAAUACCUGCUGUUGUAUGUCU
rnacentral:rRNA from 1 species